UACGGAGGGUGCGAGCGUUGUCCGGAAUCACUGGGCGUAAAGGGCGCGUAGGCGGCCUGAUAAGUAGGGGGUGAAAUCCUGCGGCUUAACCGCAGGGCUGCCUUCUAAACUGUCAGGCUAGAGCACAGUAGAGGCAGGUGGAAUUCCCGGUGUAGCGGUGAAAUGCGUAGAUAUCUGGAGGAACACCGGUGGCGAAGGCGGCAUCCUGGACCGAUAUUGACGCUGAUGCGCGAAAGCCAGGGGAGCAAACGGG
rnacentral:rRNA from 1 species